UUGCUUUGGAGACCCUAAAAUAUUCCAGAGGCCAGAGUUAUGUGAUACCUGGUAAGGAAAUCUGCUAAUAGGGAGUGGAACCCACCAAAGAGAAUUGUCAAUUAAGCAUAAAUGAAUUGAAAUCAGACAUGGAGAUGCAGAGUUUGGAGUUUCCAGCUGGCAUUUGGUCUUGCUUUUGUUCAGGAUUUCCUCACUCUGAUGUUUUGGAAUGGAUCUACUCGGCGGAAGGAGAAAACUGAGUCCUUAAAGAAGUCAUCUGGCCGAACGUGGUGGCGCACGCCUUUAAUCCCAGCACUCGGGAGGCAG
rnacentral:lncRNA from 1 species